UCAUGCGUUGCGUACUAUUAAACAGCUG
rnacentral:piRNA from 1 species